UUUGAGGUCUAUCCCGACCUAACUUUGCAGUAGGUUUGAGUCGUUGGAAACGCCUCAUACAUAAAACUUGCGGUUUUUGUUUUUACUAAUCUACAUUUUUAGUAGAAUAAAACUGCAUUACACUC